AUGCACGCUGGCGGCGUGCCUAAUACAUGCCCGUCGAGCGAACGGACGAGAAGCUUGCUUCUCUGAUGUUAGCGGCGGACGGGUGAGUAACACGUGGAUAACCUACCUAUAAGACUGGGAUAACUUCGGGAAACCGGAGCUAAUACCGGAUGAUAUUUUGAACCGCAUGGUUCAAAAGUGAAAGACGGUCUUGCUGUCACUUAUAGAUGGAUCCGCGCUGCAUUAGCUAGUUGGUAAGGUAACGGCUUACCAAGGCAACGAUGCAUAGCCGACCUGAGAGGGUGAUCGGCCACACUGGAACUGAGACACGGUCCAGACUCCUACGGGAGGCAGCAGUAGGGAAUCUUCCGCAAUGGGCGAAAGCCUGACGGAGCAACGCCGCGUGAGUGAUGAAGGUCUUCGGAUCGUAAAACUCUGUUAUUAGGGAAGAACAUAUGUGUAAGUAACUGUGCACAUCUUGACGGUACCUAAUCAGAAAGCCACGGCUAACUACGUG
rnacentral:rRNA from 1 species